ACCGACUUCAUGCUGACUGUUUCGGCUUCGUGACAUAGCCUGGCUCGUGGGGGCCUUCCCAUUCAGCACGUCUCCGUGGCAACAGGCCACUUUCUCAUUCACGCCAUCUCCAGGGUUACCUUGCUUGGCUCAUUCAGGACUGUUGCCAUAGAGACAGGUCCAUUGAUACAAUCUUGACGCUUUGGAACUUUGCUUUCCCGAAUGAUGGAGUAUUGGCCGUGGGGUACGGAUGACAUUGUGAUAGGGUGUGAGGCGAAGAGAGUUCUGGGAGUUGAGGUAUAAAGACUUAAAAUCUGGCAAGAGGAAGAUGAGGUCAUGGUAGGAGAUAUGCUCAAAGAAUGUUUCCAAGAAUGGCUUUUGAUGACCACCUCAAAGCUCACAGUCUUUCCAGAGAGACCGUCACCCUCUCCCCAAGGGGGCAGCCUGAUGUUCCAGGAGGUGGCAGCCACUCGUCCAGGUCAGAAAGCGACUGCCAAGAACUCACUGGACCUUGGAAGUCAGCCAGCUGCCAAUCUGUCAGCUUGCAUCCGGAGGGCUGGAGAAGAAGCGCUGUGUUAACUGUGCAACUCUGUGCUGCUGUGCACGCUCGAAUCCCAUUGCUGCCACGUGAACUAGCUCAGGCUAGCCUGCUGGAGGAUGAAAAGCUGCCAUGUGAACUAGCUCAGGCUAGCCUGCUGGAGGGUGAAAGACCAUAGGGAGUGGAGCACAGUCAUUCCAGCCGAGGUCAUCCUGGACCAGUCUGCAGCCAGCUAACAGCCAAACAGAAGAGCCACCCAGCUGACCCGCAGCUGACCAAAGAUGCAUGAAUGAGCUCAACUGAGACCAGAUAAAGCACCCAACUGGGCCCAGCCUAAACUGCCACCCUUCA
rnacentral:lncRNA from 1 species